GCCAGGUACUAUAUUAAAUACUUUACAGAGAUAUUAGCUUAUUUGAUCCUUACAGCAAUAUGGAAGGUAAGUGCUGUUAUUAUCCCUUUUUGUCAGUUGAGAAAACGGAGGCAGACAGAGAAAAGUGUCUGAAAUUGGUUUUGAACUCAGGUCUUGACUCUAGGCUAGGGACUGGAGUCCACUGCAGUACUACUUGUCUGCCAGUAUAGUCAAAAGGAUACCCAAACAGAAGGGCCUCAUGAAGUUUGCAAAGAAAUAGAGUCUGAAUAAAUGUCCUCCAGAGACUUCUGGUUAGUCAGAUCACUAUGAUGCUUUGCCAGUGAGGCAUUAAUUGCAUUCAAUUUCUAACAAAUCACCAUCUUAUCUCACUAUUUUCCCUACAGGCACAAUGAAAGUGAUGCCCCUCAGAAGACUGUAAGCUCUUGGAAGUCGGAGAUCAUAUUUUAUACUUUUCUUAUGAUGUCUACUUAACCAAGCCCAGAAGUAAAGUUGUUCAGUGCAUACUUGGUGAACUGCUUUGAAUUGAGUUGACCUGUGAGAGUCAUAGACACAGGAUCUCAGAGGCAUUACCAAAGGAAUUCUUUCUAUGGCAGCCCAAAUCAUUGUCAUCCUAACCUCUGCUUGAAUAUUUCUGGGGGCAAGAGAAAACAGGAAGGACUAUUGUUAUGAUUGUUAUAUCAGCAUCACCCAGGAACACUUGGCCCUUCUGGGAGUCAGCCUGGCCUUUUGCCUAGAGCAUAAGUGAUGCACGUCCUUUUUCUGAGCUGGCCUGAGCUGCAGUUGCAAUAUAGGGAUGCUGACUCAGCUUCUGGCAAAGGUCAGAGUGAAUCUUUGGUGUGGCCUCCAAGUCCCAUUUUAGCCUGUGGUUCUUUGACUGCUACAAUUUCCAUGCCUCAUUAGCACUCCCACUAUCACCUUUCUUGGACCAAGUCCCAGAAGAACUAUUUGCUUUGGAGGUCAUGAAGUUGGGAGGUGGAAGAGGAAUCUUGGAGAUGGGAGAGGAGGUGGAGAUGAGGUAAAUAUAAACUCUUUGAUACUAGGGACUCUUAUUUUUUGCCUGUGUAUCUACAACAUCAAUGCCUACCACCCCAAGGUAGGAGCAUCACACAUGUUUAUGGAUUUGAAUUGAAU
rnacentral:lncRNA from 1 species